UUGCUUUAGCAGCAUAUAUACUAAAAAUGGAAAGAUACAGAGAAGAUUAGCAUGGCUGCUGUGCAAGGAUGAUAUGCAAAUUUGCCCUUUCCUCAUUGUAUAU